CGGCGAACGGGUGAGUAACACGUGAGCAACCUGCCCCACAGACCGGGAUAGCCCAGGGAAACCUGGAUUAAUACCGGAUGCCCUCGGAGGACCUCCUGGUCCAUCGAGGAAAUGCCUUUGUGCUGUGGGAUGGGCUCGCGACUUAUCAGUUAGUUGGUGGGGUAAUGGCCUACCAAGACGAUGACGAGUAGCUGGUCUGAGAGGACGAUCAGCCACACUGGGACUGAGACACGGCCCAGACUCCUACGGGAGGCAGCAGCAGGGAAUCUUGUCCAAUGGGCGAAGGCCUGAGACAGCGGCACCGCGUGGGGGAUGAAGGCCUUCGGGUUGUAAACCCCUUUCAGGAGGGAUGAAAUUGACAGUACCUCCACAAGAAGCACCGGCCAACUACGUGCCAGCAGCCGCGGUAAUACGUAGGGUGCAAGCGUUAUCCGGAAUCAUUGGGCGUAAAGAGCUCGUAGGCGGUUCAGCAAGUCGGCUGUGAAAGUCCGAGGCUCAACCUCGGAAUUGCAGUCGAUACUGCUGUGACUCGAGUCCGGUAGAGGAGAAUGGAAUUCCCGGUGUAGCGGUGAAAUGCGCAGAUAUCGGGAGGAACACCAGUAGCGAAGGCGGUUCUCUGGGCCGGCACUGACGCUGAGGAGCGAAAGCGUGGGGAGCAAACAGGAUUAGAUACCCUGGUAGUCCACGCCGUAAGCGUUGGAUACUAGGUGUGGCGUCCCGAUCAACGGUCGCCGUGCCGAAGCUAACGCAUUAAGUAUCCCGCCUGGGGA
rnacentral:rRNA from 1 species